CAAGCGAACGAGGAAAGCGCGAGACUCAAAUCCAGGGGAGUCGGCCGCGGCGGCAGUGGCGGCAAAGGAGAAGACUCCAGGCCCGGUCUGCCUGCGCACGCGCAGAGGCACCCAAGCGGCGCGGCGUCUCUAGGUUCGUCAUUAGACCGAGUCCUCCCUCAAACACGGCAUUUUUUCAUAUGUCACUCUCGUUCCCUGUAUGGUGCUGACUACUUAUUAGAUCUUCUUGGCCUUUACUGACACUAAUGGAAUGAAGAUUUUACAUUCUACUUGGAAGUAUCAUAAGGUGCCUGAAAUGAGCUUCUUUCAAGGCAUUACUUAAACUGAACUGAAGAACUGAUGAAUAAUAAUUGAUGCAUCAGAAUUGCCUUCAUUAUGGAGGUAGCAUUUGAGCUAAGCUUUGAAAAUGAAGAUUUCCGCAAGCAGAGAAGCCCAUAAAUCACUAAUAACCACUUUUAAAAUGCCUCUUCCUUCUUGCUUCCAACUGAGUUCCUUGUGUGGAUAAGCGUCUUUAGUUAAAGGAGUCUUUAUCUCUCUCCUCACCAGAAGAGACUUCAAAGACAGGUAGU